rnacentral:SRP_RNA from 2 species
GGCCGGGUCCUAUGCAACGUUGGACAGGUUAACCCCGUCAGGCCCGGAAGGGAGCAGCGGUCGCCUAAUCCACGUGUGCCGUAGGGUGCCUGGCCACU